GUCCUUUUGUUUAAAAUUUAAGGUCUAACCUGCCCACUGAUUUUUUUUGAAUGGCCGCGGUAUUUUGACCGUGCUAAGGUAGCAUAAUCAUUAGUUUUUUAAUUGAAAGCUGGAAUGAAGGGUUGAAUGAAAAAAUAACUGUCUCUUAUAAAUUUUAUUAGAAUUUUAUUUUUAAGUUAAAAAGCUUAAAUAAGUUUAAAAGACGAGAAGACCCUAUAGAGUUUAAUAUAAUAAUUUUUAUAAAAAUAAAGUAUUUAAUUUUUAGUAUAAUUGUUAUAUUUGGUUGGGGUGAUUAAAAAAUUUAAUUAACUUUUUUUUUAUUUAAAUAUAAAUUAAUAAGAAAUUGAUCCAAAUUUUUUGAUUAUAAGAAUAAAUUACCUUAGGGAUAACAGCGUAAUUAUAUUGGAGAGUUCUAAUCGAUAAUAUAGAUUGCGA
rnacentral:rRNA from 1 species